CCUACGGGAGGCAGCAGUGGGGAAUAUUGCACAAUGGGGGAAACCCUGAUGCAGCGACGCCGCGUGAAGGAAGAAGUAUCUCGGUAUGUAAACUUCUAUCAGCAGGGAAGAAAAUGACGGUACCUGACUAAGAAGCCCCGGCUAACUACGUGGCAGCACCCGCGGUAAUACGUAGGGGGCAGGCGUUAUCCGGAUUUACCGGGGGUAAAGGGGGCGUAGGCGGAAGAGGAAGUCUGAUGUGAAAGGCGGGGGGUUAACCCCAGGACUGCAUUGGAAACUGUGUUUCUAGAGUGCAGGAGAGGUACGCGGAAUUCGUGGUGUAGCGGUGAAAUGCGUAGAUAUUAGGAGGAACACCAGUGGCGAAGGCGGCUUACUGGACGGUAACUGACGUUGAGGCACGAAAGCGUGGGGAGCGAACAGGAUUAGAUACCCCAGUAGUC
rnacentral:rRNA from 1 species